rnacentral:lncRNA from 1 species
AAAGAUUCUGCAUGUUGAGCAACAGUGACAAUACAGGUGAUUACACCGCUGACCUGGGAGAGGAUGGGAAGUUCUUUGUGCCUGCUUGGUCUGUCACUUUCCUUCAAAAUUGUAGCAAGGAGGUUUACAACACAGCAAAGGUAACGGUGGAUAGAUCAAGCAAUAAAAUCUUUCUAUAUUCCCUCUUAAAGACUUGAAACAGAAAAUGCUCAUUCAUGUUGAAUUACUUUCAUCCACAGAUUAACACUCAGACCUCUGUAAUGGUGACGAAACAUAGUGAAGAGGAUGCACAUGGGAAUGAAGUUAAACCAGCUAAAUUAUCCUGGAUGUGGGCACCAGAACCUAUUCAAGACACCCUCAAAGGGAAUGGUAGAUUUGAAGCAGCACAGCUUCUGGACCAGAAGGAGGCAUCUGGUGAUGUUAGUGACUACUUAUGGUAUAUGACCAGGUAAAUUUCCUCAAAAUUUCCUGGACUUCAAUGCACCAGAAACCAAUAGAAAGAAAUAAUAUUGGUGUGUUCUUACAGUGUGGACACUAGAAACAUUUCUUUGAAGAAUAUGACUCUGCGUGUGAGCACAAAUGGCCAUGGACUUCAUGCAUAUGUUAACGGCAAACUCAUUGGUAGUACUAUUUUGAUGCAUUUGAUUUCUGUACAAAGAUGUUCCUUUUUUCGGUCAUUGUUACUGACUCUGUCUUGAUAACAGGCUCACAAUUCUCCAGGCAAGCUAAGGGGCAACAAAUGGUCACUGGAGAUGAUUACAGUUUUGGGUUCGACAAAGCUGUUUCUCUGAAAAAAGGCCUCAAUGUCAUAAGUUUACUCAGUGUCACAGUUGGAUUGGCGGUAUGUUUUUUUCUGUAGAAUUUACUGCAAAACUAAUAAUCGGUCUCAUUAAUGGUAGAAUGAAUGGUGCAGAACUAUGGUGCAUUUUAUGACUUGAAACCUACUGGCUUAAUUAAUGGCGGCGUUCUGUUGAACGGAAAAGGAAAUAAUAGUAUCAAUGCAACAACAUACCAAUGGUCUUAUAAGGUACUUACUACUGAGACAUACCAAAGAUUUUACCAUCCAAUCAUCAAUAAUACUUGGAAUAUGUACCUGAUUGUCAUUGCCGGUGAAGGUGGGGUUGAACGGUGAGGCCCAACAAUUCCAUGAUCCAAAUUCACGCAAUGCCAACUGGAACUCCACAAAGGUCCCCAAAAAUAGACC